CUACGGGUCGCUGCAGUGAGGAAUUUUGCGCAAUGGGGGAAACCCUGACGCAGCAACGCCGCGUGAGUGAGGAAGGCCCUUGGGUCGUAAAGCUCUGUCAAUGGGGAAGAAGUUAUUAUGUGUUAAUAGCACAUUUUAUUGACGGUACCCAUGAAGGAAGCACCGGCUAACUCCGUGCCAGCAGCCGCGGUAAUACGGGGGGUGCAAGCGUUAUUCGGAAUUAUUGGGCGUAAAGGGCACGCAGGCGGUCCUGUCAGUCAGAUGUGAAAGCCCGGGGCUCAACCCCGGACGUGCAUUUGAAACAGCAGGACUUGAGUACGGGAGAGGAAAGGGGAAUUCCUGGUGUAGAGGUGAAAUUCGUAGAUAUCAGGAGGAACACCGGUGGCGAAGGCGCCUUUCUGGACCGAUACUGACGCUGAGGUGCGAAGGCGUGGGUAGCGAACGGGAUUAGAUACCCCGGUAGUC
rnacentral:rRNA from 1 species